rnacentral:rRNA from 1 species
GAUGAACGCUGGCGGCGUGCCUAAUACAUGCAAGUCGAGCGAAUGGAUUAAGAGCUUGCUCUUAUGAAGUUAGCGGCGGACGGGUGAGUAACACGUGAGUAACCUGCCCAUAAGACUGGGAUAACUCCGGGAAACCGGGGCUAAUACCGGAUAACAUUUUGAACCGCAUGGUUCGAAAUUGAAAGGCGGCUUCGGCUGUCACUUAUGGAUGGACCCGCGUCGCAUUAGCUAGUUGGUGAGGUAACGGCUCACCAAGGCAACGAUGCGUAGCCGAGCUGAGAGGGUGAUCGGCCACACUGGGACUGAGACACGGCCCAGACUCCUACGGGAGGCAGCAGUAGGGAAUCUUCCGCAAUGGACGAAAGUCUGACGGAGCAACGCCGCGUGAGUGAUGAAGGCUUUCGGGUCGUAAAACUCUGUUGUUAGGGAAGAACAAGUGCUAGUUGAAUAAGCUGGCACCUUGACGGUACCUAACCAGAAAGCCACGGCUAACUACGUGCCAGCAGCCGCGGUAA